rnacentral:rRNA from 1 species
GAUGAACGCUGGCGGCGUGCCUAAUACAUGCAAGUCGAGCGAACAGACGAGGAGCUUGCUCCUCUGACGUUAGCGGCGGACGGGUGAGUAACACGUGGAUAACCUACCUAUAAGACUGGGAUAACUUCGGGAAACCGGAGCUAAUACCGGAUAAUAUAUUGAACCGCAUGGUUCAAUAGUGAAAGACGGUUUUGCUGUCACUUAUAGAUGGAUCCGCGCCGCAUUAGCUAGUUGGUAAGGUAACGGCUUACCAAGGCAACGAUGCGUAGCCGACCUGAGAGGGGGAUCGGCCACACUGGAACUGAGACACGGUCCAGACUCCUACGGGAGGCAGAAGUGGGGAAUCUUCGACAAGGGGCGAAGGCCUGACGGAGCAACCCCGCGUGGGUGAAGAAGGUCUUCGGAUCGUAAAGCUCUUUUAUUGGGAAAGAAAAAAUGUAAAAGAAAAUAUGCCCGUCUUGACGGUACCAAAAAAAAAAGCACCGGCUAACUCCGUG